rnacentral:misc_RNA from 1 species
AACAAGGCGUACCUGCGGACCUGCGGAGGGAUCAUUACACAAAUGAAAAUAUGAAGGCCCUUCAAACCGGCUGGAUUAUUUUUCUUCACCCUUGUCUUUUGCGCACUUGUUGUUUCCUGGGCGGGUUCGCUCGCCACCAGGACCACACCAUAAACCUUUUUGUUAAUGCAAUCAGCGUCAGUAAAAAGUAAUAAUUAUUUUACAACUUUUAACAAUGGAUCUCAGAUCGGAAGAGCACAC